GAGGGAGCAAGUGAAAAUAUUUUGAGAUGCUGUAUUUGAAAGAGGUGUGAGGAAAUUUAUUGUUUCAAAUGUAAAUCAAAUCCAACACGAUUGAACACUUGGCACCAGGAAACCUUUCAAGUCUGAGAAGCUAAAGAAUGUUGAAGGUUGAAUAUCUCUCUCAGGGAUGGUCUUCUGGAAAGUUUCCAAAUCUCCAUGAACCAAUCAGCACUACCAUCAAGCAACAUGGAUUUACCGGAGUAUCAAGUGUGGGGAACAUCAGAACCCGACCUAGCUAGGAUGUAUAUAAUGUAUAUAAUAUAUACUGAUGUAUAUAAUCUCAGAUGGGUUUUUGUGCUUUUAGCUAAAAUGUUUACCACGUAAUUUGACUAAUAAUUUAAUACAAAAUUAC